UACGGAGGGGACUAGCGUUGUUCGGAAUUACUGGGCGUAAAGCGCACGUAGGCGGAUUUGUAAGUCAGGGGUGAAAUCCCGAGGCUCAACCUCGGAACUGCCUUUGAUACUGCAAAUCUCGAGUCCGGAAGAGGUGAGUGGAAUUCCUAGUGUAGAGGUGAAAUUCGUAGAUAUUCGCAAGAACACCAGUGGCGAAAGGCGGCUUACUGGUCCGGGAUCUGACGCUGAGGCGCGAAAGCGUGGGGAGCGAACAGG
rnacentral:rRNA from 1 species